rnacentral:sRNA from 1 species
CAAUUACCUCCUGGAAAACCUGAGAUCUUUAAAUGUCGUUCUCCCAAUAAGGAAACAUUCACCUGCUGGUGGAGGCCUGGGACAGAUGGAGGACUUCCUACCAAUUAUUCACUGACUUACCACAGGGAAGGAGAGACACUCAUGCAUGAAUGUCCAGACUACAUAACCGGUGGCCCCAACUCCUGCCACUUUGGCAAGCAGUACACCUCCAUGUGGAGGACAUACAUCAUGAUGGUCAAUGCCACUAACCAGAUGGGAAGCAGUUUCUCGGAUGAACUUUAUGUGGACGUGACUUACAUAGUUCAACCAGACCCUCCUUUGGAGCUGGCUGUGGAAGUAAAACAGCCAGAAGACAGAAAACCCUACCUGUGGAUUAAAUGGUCUCCACCUACCCUGAUUGACUUAAAAACUGGUUGGUUCACGCUCCUGUAUGAAAUUCGAUUAAAACCCGAGAAAGCAGCUGAGUGGGAGAUCCAUUUUGCUGGGCAGCAAACAGAGUUUAAGAUUCUCAGCCUACAUCCAGGACAGAAAUACCUUGUCCAGGUUCGCUGCAAACCAGACCAUGGAUACUGGAGCGCGUGGAGUCCAGCGACCUUCAUUCAGAUACCUAGUGCAUGGUGACCUGCAUCUUUCCGCCAGUUCCUGGGCCAAAAAUAAAAGGAUUUGAUG